CCAGGAGGGACUUCCGGCGUCAUCCGUGCAGUGAUCGUUUCGGCAGCUGUUGAGUGCUGGUUCCGUUCCGUGGUGAAGUAACCGGGAAGCGGCGACAGGACUCCUGGUCCGGACCACACAGAGGCGGGUCUGAGGCUGGGAGGUGGCGCCAUCCGGGGUGACCCACGCCACGGCCGGCAGACCUACGGCGCCGCGACCACGCUCCGCCCUCAGCCUCCCUGGCGGCCGCCGCGCUGAGGGACCCGGUUCAGCUUCCCAUGGCUGAAGAAGUGCUUACUGAUUCUACACUGGAAGAGAGACGGGGCAGAGUCAGGCUUGGAAUGGCUUCCGGAGAAGUUGAGCAUCUAUUCUGGAG